UACAGGUUAGACAGAAACACCUUUGGCGGCGAUUACAGCAGUGAGUCUCUCUGAGUAAGUCUCUAAGAGCUUCGCACACCUGAAUUGUGCACCAUUUAUCAAGGUGUUGGGAAUCAUGGCUAGACAGCCAUAGAUUUUCAAGCAAAACUAACUCGACCACUCAUGAACAUUCACUGUCUUCUUGGUAAGCAUCUACGGUGUAGAUUUGGCCUUGUGUUUCAGGUUAUUGUCCUGCUGAAAUGUGAAUUCAUCUCCCAGUGUCUGGUGGAAAGCAGACUGAACCAGGUUUUCAUCUAGAAUUUUUCCUGUGCUUAGCUUUAUUCCAUUUCUUUUCACCCUGAAAAACUCCUCAGUAUUUGCCGAUGACAAGCAUACCCAUACCAUGAUGCAGCCGCCACCAUGCUGGAAAAAUAAGGAGGCAGUUCGUUACUCAGUGACGUAUUGAAUCUGCCCCAAACAUAAGGUUUCCAGUUUUCAUGUCACCUGUCCAAGUACAGUGAAAUACCUUUCUUGCAAGUUCCAAAACCAACAAUGCAGUAAUCAAUAUCAAUGUAGCAUUAAAGAUAACAAGGUAGGGAACUGGAGUGAUGGAGGUAGAUAUGUAUAGGGGGAAGGGGACAGGGAUACUGGAGUGAUGGAGGUAGAUAUGUAUAGGGGGAAGGAGACAGGGAUACUGGAGUGAUGGAGGUAGAUAUGUAUAGGGGACAGGGAUACUGGAGUGAUGGAGGUAGAUAUGUAUAGGGGGAAGGGGACAGGGAUACUGGAGUGAUGGAGGUAGAUAUGUAUAGGGUUAAGGUGACUAGAGUGUGAGAGAGUGUACAUAGAGACAGUGCAAAAAUAAAAUACAAGGGUCAACUUAGAGAAUCCAUGCUGUUAGCUAUUUAGUCAGCUAUAUAGCAGUCUUAUGGCUUGGGGAUAGAAGUUGUUCAGAGGCUGUUCGGCUUUGCAUUUAGACCAAAAAGUGUAUUUCCUUUUCCAUUUUGUAUUUAAAUUACUUUAGUGCUUUGUUGCGUGAUGCUAUCGCGUCUGCAUGGACCAACAUUCCUGUGGGAACAUUUCUGAUACCUUGUAGAAUGCCCCAGAGAAUUCAGGUUGUUCUGGAGGCAAAGGGAGUCCGACCCGGUACUAGAUGGGAGUACCUAAUAAACUGUCCGGUGAGUGUAUAAUCCACAGCAUAAUUAUUAACUUAAACCAUGCUUAAAGAGAUAUUCAAAUAUCUGAUUUGUUAUUGUUAUGCAGCUACCAAUCGCUGUCCUUCUUUAUGAGGCUUUCGUAAAGCUCCCUGGUCUUUGUAGUUUAACCUGUGCUUGAUAUUCUAAUACUUGACUGAGGGACUGAUGUUAUAUGUUUUGGGGGACCGAGGAAGUCAUUCAAAAAUCAUGUCAUCCCCUAUUAUUCCAUGUAAAUUAUUGUGUGAUUUGUUAAGGCACAUUUUACUCCUGAACUAAGUUACUCUUGACAUAACAAAGGGUCUGAAUACUUAUACAAUGAUUAUUUUAGUU
rnacentral:lncRNA from 1 species